AGAGGGGGCAAGCGUUGCUCGGAAUCACUGGGCGUAAAGGGCGCGUAGGCGGGAUGGCAAGUCGGUCGUGAAAUCCUCGGGCUCAACUCGAGGGGGUCGGCCGAUACUGCCGUUCUUGAGGGAUGCAGAGGAGACUGGAAUUCCCGGUGUAGCGGUGAAAUGUGUAGAGAUCGGGAGGAACACCGGUGGCGAAGGCGGGUCUCUGGGCAUUCCCUGACGCUGAGGCGCGAAAGCGUGGGGAGCAAACGGGAUUAGAUACCCCGGUAGUCCACGCGGUAAACGAUGACGACUAGGUGUGGGGGGGUUAAGUCCCUUCCGUGCCGCAGCUAACGCAUUAAGUCGUCCGCCUGGGGAGUACGGCCGCAAGGUUGAA
rnacentral:rRNA from 1 species